AACGAACGCUGGCGGCAUGCCUAACACAUGCAAGUCGAACGAGACCUUCGGGUCUAGUGGCGCACGGGUGCGUAACGCGUGGGAACCUGCCUUUAGGUUCGGAAUAACAGUGAGAAAUUACUGCUAAUACCGGAUGAUGUCUUCGGACCAAAGAUUUAUCGCCUUUAGAUGGGCCCGCGUUGGAUUAGCUAGUUGGUGGGUAAAGGCCUACCAAGGCGACGAUCCAUAGCUGGUCUGAGAGGAUGAUCAGCCACACUGGGACUGAGACACGGCCCAGACUCCUACGGGAGGCAGCAGUGGGAAUAUUGGACAAUGGGCGAAAGCCUGAUCCAGCAAUGCCGCGUGAGUGAUGAAGGCCUUAGGGUGUAAAGCUCUUUUACCCGAGAUGAUAAUGACAGUACCUGGAGAAUAAGCUCCGGCUAACUCCGUG
rnacentral:rRNA from 1 species